AUCAUAAUGCCGCCCAUUGCCGUUGUCUUGAGCAAAUGUUACUAUCAUCACAGAUGGGCAGAAUGAUUCUGCCUCUCAAAGCCAGGACAUUCAUUUGUACAGUCCUCAUCAGCCUCUCUCUCAUCGCUGCUAUUCAUGGGCCGGACCAGCGGGAGGAGAGAUCAACUGUGCUGUGCUGAAGAAACACCACACUUCACCAUGACUGCAGAAAUCAGCCUCCAGGAGCUACAUCUCCACCCCUUAUUUCAUACGGGUGGGAAAGAAGUUCAAAGAAAGAAUCGAAACAAUCCAUCCAUCCAAGCUUUGGAAUAUCUGAACUGCACCCAAAUAUCACCAAGCACUUCCCAAUCUCUGCUUUGAAACAAGAGAACAGACGAUGAUUUGCAGCAGUUUGGGAUGAUUUACUCACACACAGCUUGUGUAACACUUACUGCAGCGUUACUUGAAAACUUAUAAAGCAUCCAUCCGAGGGCUGAGCGGGGUCAGGUUCAGGUUUGUGACAGCAGCGUGCGUGGCUGCGAGGCAGAGCUGCAGCAACAGCUUCAGUUGCAUUUCCUCAGUGCAAGUUAAGGGCACAGCAGACCCAACUCCUGUUGCAUUUGCUAUUGUAUAUUUUAGGAGUAAUUCUCUUUAAAUAUGAGUCAGAUUCUUUGCUGGUGUAAAGCAGCUGAGCCGCCUGCAUUCCAAUGCAGAUAAACUAAUUCACACCAGCUGAACGCCGGCCCAGCGGAAUUACGUUGCUGUAAAUCCAGUGUGAGAUCAGAACGGAGUUAGCCUGGGUUAGCACUGGUGGAACUGAGAACAGAAUUUAACCCACAACAUUUUGACACCGUUCCAAAUAUUCGUAAAACCCAUAUUAAUUUUGAGUGUAAAUGUGCCAAAUUCACCCUGGUGUCAUACAGAGUCCAAAAAAAUUACACCCUGGGGAUAAAUUUGGCUCUGCAUAUUUAAUCUAAGUACACGGCAUCAUCCCAGCAAGGAAAGCAAAUGAGCAAUAAACAUAAGUUUGCUGUUGGA